rnacentral:rRNA from 1 species
AGAGUGAACGCUGGCGGCAGGCCUAACACAUGCAAGUCGAACGGCAGCACAAGGGAGCUUGCUCCCUGGGUGGCGAGUGGCGGACGGGUGAGGAAUACGUCGGAAUCUGCCUAUUUGUGGGGGAUAACGUAGGGAAACUUACGCUAAUACCGCAUACGACCCCAUGCCGAGAGGUGCGGGGUGAAAGCGGAGGACCUUCGGGCUUCGCGCAGAUAGAUGAGCCGACGUCGGAUUAGCUUGUUGGCGGGGUAACGGCCCACCAAGGCGACGAUCCGUAGCUGGUCUGAGAGGAUGAUCAGCCACACUGGAACUGAGACACGGUCCAGACUCCUACGGGAGGCAGCAGUGGGGAAUAUUGGGACAAUGGGCGCAAGCCUGAUCCAGCCAUGCCGCGUGUGUGAAGAAGCCUUCGGUUGUAAAGCACUUUUUAGCCGGAAAGAAAGCUUCGGUUAACACCCGUGGAGUCCUGACGGUACCGGAAGAAUAAGACACCGCUAACUCGCG